UACGUAGGGUGCAAGCGUUGUCCGGAAUUAUUGGGCGUAAAGAGCUUGUAGGCGGUUUGUCGCGUCUGCUGUGAAAUUUCGGGGCUCAACCCCGAACUUGCAGUGGGUACGGGCAGACUAGAGUGUGGUAGGGGAGACUGGAAUUCCUGGUGUAGCGGUGAAAUGCGCAGAUAUCAGGAGGAACACCAAUGGCGAAGGCAGCUCACUGGGACGGUAUUGACGCUGAGACGCGGAAAGCGUGGGGGAGCAAACAAGG
rnacentral:rRNA from 1 species